rnacentral:rRNA from 1 species
CCUACGGGCGGCAGCAGUAGGGAAUAUUGCUCAAUGGGGGAAACCCUGAAGCAGCAACGCCGCGUGGAGGAUGAAGGUUUUCGGAUUGUAAACUCCUGUUGUUAGAGAAGAUAAUGACGGUAUCUAACGAAUAACCACCGGCUAACUCCGUGCCAGCAGCCGCGGUAAUACGGAGGGUGCAAGCGUUACUCGGAAUCACUGGGCGGAAAGAGCGCGUAGGCGGGAUAGCAAGUCAGAUGUGAAAUCCUAUGGCUUAACCAUAGAACUGCAUUUGAAACUGUUAUUCUAGAGUAUGGUAGAGGUAGGUGGAAUUCUUGGUGUAGGGGUAAAAUCCGUAGAGAUCAAGAGGAAUACUCAUUGCGAAGGCGACCUGCUAGAACAUAACUGACGCUGAUGCGCGAAAGCGUGGGGAGCAAACAGGAUUAGAUACCCUUGUAGUC